CCUACGGUGGACAGCAGUGGGGAAUAUUGCACAAUGUGGGAAACCCUGAUGCAGCGACGCCGCGUGCGUGAAGAAGUAUCUCGGUACGUAAAGCUCUAUCAGCAGGGAAGAAAAUGACGGUACCUGACGAAGAAGCACCGGCUAACUACGUGCCAGCAGCCGCGGUAAUACGUAGGGGGCAAGCGUUAUCCGGAUUUACUGGGUGUAAAGGGAGCGUAGACGGCAGCACAAGUCUGGAGUGAAAUCCCGGGACUUAACCCCGGAACUGCGUUGGAAACUGUGCGGCUGGAGUGCAGGAGGGGUAAGCGGAAUUCCUAGUGUAGCGGUGAAAUACGUAGAUAGUAGGAGGAACACCGGUGGCGAAGGCGGCUUACUGGACUGUAACUGACGUUGAGGCUCGAAAGCGUGGGGAGCAAACAGGAUUAGAUACCCGGGUAGUC
rnacentral:rRNA from 1 species